CAUAUUGCUGAAGCCUGGCUUGGAGAAUUUUGAGCAUUACUUUACUAGCAUGUGAGAUGAGCGCAGUUGUGUGGUAGUUUGAGCAUUCUACUAUGUGCUGAAAAUCCACAAGUCCUUCAGCUGAGGUCAUAAUCCCCAUAUGUCCCUCCCUCCUCUAGACUAAGUCCUGUCAACUGUGGGAGGAGCAUUAGCUUCACCAUGUAGGACCAUGACUUUCCUCACUUUUGACACUGAGCUUCAAUCAGAACAGUGAAGGUCACAGGAGCAUCUGUGGUAGGAAUGAUUUUCUCCUGCUUUCCAUGGACAGUCAUUUUUGUGGUUGAAGGAAAUUGAAUAAACAUGUGAACUAAGUUCUUGAUAAACCAUCAAACAGGAAGGGCUGAAGACAAAAGCCAUCAGCUGGCUGUGGAUUCCUCCCCAUACGUGGAUACUGAACCAUCACUAAACCCUGGUUUGGAGUUUGGUCAUUAGCAUGAUUUUGACUUCACCUUCACCAUAUUUCUGCCCAAUCUUCAUUUCCUCCAUAUAGUCAACAAGAUAAUUUUUCUAGGCUUUGCCAAAUACCUUGAUUUUUUUUUUUUAAUUGACAAGUUUCUGCUCUUGGUAUCUCCAUGAUUAUGUUGGUGAACCUAUGCUGAUUCCUAGUAUCAAUUGCUUUCAUUCUUUAGAAAUCACUGAAUACACUUUAAUAACACCAUAUAGAAAGUGUCGAAUACAUGUCAAAAUGAUAUCUGUAAAUUAUGAUAUCGUCCUCCUUCCCAUUAAAAAAAGUAUUUGUUUAUUUUGGAGUGUGCUGGGUCUUCGUUUCCCUGUGCAUGCUUUCUCUAGCUGCAGCAAGAGGGGAAUGCUCUUUGUUAUGCAUGGGCUUCUCAUUGCGAUGGUGGCUUCUCUUGUCGCAGAGCCCAGGUGCUUGACCAUGUGGACUUCAGUAGCUGUGGCUCUGGGGCUCUAGAGCACAGGCCGAGUAACGGUGGCAUGUGGGCUUAAUUGCCUGUGGCAGGUGGGAUCUUCCUGGACCAGGCUUCAAACCCGUGUCUCCUGCAUUGGCAGGUGGAUGCUUUACCACUGAGCCACCAGGGAAGCCCAUCCUUCUUCUCAUUGUUGAAAAUCACAACAGUUGCUCCAUUCUACCUCAUCCAGCAUCUGUCUUAUCCCCCAUGGUUCCUCAGAGAGUCUCAGGACAACCUUCCCUAGCUAGGCAUUUAUUACUGAAGUAGAGCUGAUUUACAAUAUCACAUUAGUUUCAGGUGUACACCAUAGUGUUUCAAUAGUUGCAUAGCUUAUGCUCCAUUCAAAGCUACUGUAAGAUAAUGACUUUAUUUCCCUGUGCUGUACAGUACGUCCUUGUUUCUUGCCCAUCCGCUUUCUCCCCUCCCCACUGGUAGCCACUAGCUUGCUCUCUGUAUCUGUGAGUCUUUUUCUAUUGUUGUGUACACUCAUUUGUUUUAUUUUUUUUAGAUUCCACAUAUAAGUGAUAACAGAGUGUUUCUGUUUCUCUGACUUAUUUCACUAAGCAUAAUACUCUCUAGUUCCAUCUACAUUGUUGCAAAUGGCAGAAUUUCAUUUUUUACGGCAAUUUAUCUUUAUACCCUAAAACACAG
ensembl:lncRNA